rfam:Ictidomys tridecemlineatus contig006715, whole genome shotgun sequence.
GAUGGUGUAGCUCAGUGGUAGAGUACUUGCCUAAUGUGCCAAGGCCUUGGUUUCAAUCCCCAGCACCAACA